GUGUCAGCAGCCGCGGUAAUACGUAGGGAGCAAGCGUUGUCCGGAUUUAUUGGGCGUAAAGCGCGUGUAGGCGGCCAGGUAGGUCCGCUGUGAAAACCCGAGGCUCAACCUCGGGACGUCGGCGGAAACCAUCUGGCUAGAGUCCGGAAGAGGAGAGUGGAAUUCCCGGUGUAGCGGUGAAAUGCGCAGAUAUCGGGAAGAACACCCGUGGCGAAGGCGGCUCUCUGGGACGGUACUGACGCUGAGACGCGAAAGCGUGGGGAGCGAACAGGAUUAGAAACCCGCGUAGUCC
rnacentral:rRNA from 1 species